CACGCAGGCGGUUUGGUAAGUCAGGGGUGAAAGCCCACAGCUUAACUGUGGGAUUGCCUCUGAUACUGCCUUUCUGGAGUGCAGGAGAGGGAAGCGGAAUUCCGAGUGUAGAGGUGAAAUUCGUAGAUAUUCGGAGGAACACCGGUGGCGAAGGCGGCUUCCUGGCCUGUAACUGACGCUCAGGCGCGAAAGCGUGGGGAGCAAACAGGAUUAGAUACCCUGGUAGUCCACGCCCUAAACGAUGGGCACUAGGUGUGGGAGGUAUCGACCCCUUCCGUGCCGCAGCUAACGCAUUAAGUGCCCCGCCUGGGGAGUACGGCCGCAAGGUUGAA
rnacentral:rRNA from 1 species